GUUAUCUCUUCCAUGAAACCUAUUUUCUCCUUCUUUUUUUUCUUCUUCUGCUACUACGAUUCUUCUCUUCGCCCGCGAAGAAACUCUAAAUUUUGAGAUUUGAGUUUCCUUGAUGUGCUCUACAGGAAAUUUAGGAGGCAAGGCGGUGAGAGGAAAAGAAGACGAAGUGGUGGUUAGGAACAAGAUCGUUAGGUCAAGUGAUCGCAGAGUCCUCAAUAUCUUCAGGUGAUUUUGGAAAAAGGAAAACUCCAGUUCGGGACCAUGGUCAGAUUAAGCUAAAUGACAAAUCCAUGGUUAAGAGGAGGACGAAAAGUCUGGAAUUCCCCUCAUUACUCAUUCAAGUUGGAAAAUUUGAUCUUUCUCACAGUGAGUGGUGAAGUUGAUACCUUGAAAGUGGUUACUGACGAAGAAAAUGGUGUUAUAAUGGGAGCUUCAGGUAGGAUAUUGAAGGAAACCUCUCUCCAAUUUCACCAUUAAUUAUGGUUGACAACUCCAUGAAUAAGGUAAAGACUCAAAAAUAUACUGAAAUACGAUCAGAGAUAGUUGGAACUCAAGUUGAUGCUUCUUAGUUUUUUUUGUUCCAAGUAAUCAUAUGAAAGAGACAUGUAGUUUGUCUGUGCAUACUGCAUUGCCAGGGAUGUACCCAUGGAUUUCAGUAGAUUUUACGUUCGUGUACAUAGAAUGUACACAUUGUUAGGGAUGCACCCUUGAGUUUUGCUGGACUUCUCUUUCUCCAGCAAUAAGAUACCUCUACCACUUACUUCUGAUGUGAUCUGUUUCUUUUAUAUUUCAAAAUUUCGGGUAACAAGCAGGUUCAGCAGACUAUUAUAGGUUUUGUAUUUGGUGAGCUAUGUGUACACUGGAUCUUCUGAACAAAGAUGCCAUGUUUGAUCAAAUUUAAGGGUUCAAUUAGGAGUUGCUACAACUGAAAUGAGAAAGGGGAUCACUAAGCCACGGUUCAAACUGGUGUAUCAGUUCUCUAGGAAAUAUAUUAUCAUUAUCAUAUCAACUGUGGAUACUUCUUUGUCUUCCAAUUGUACAACAAUAAAGCUAAAAGCAUGGACAAGUAAAUCAAUACUACAUUUGGCCGAUGAUUGCCAUGAAGAAUUUAAUAUUUAGGAAUUCGUUUACGACAUUGUCUUUAUGAUGCUACGUUUUUUCGCUUUGGCUAUGUUGCUCGGCACGAAAACUAAGCCUAUGAAACAUAAUAAUUAAUAAUUUGUUGCAGAGCAUUCUGAAAGUUGGGGAAUGAAAUAUUUUGGUCAUUGGUCACUUUAUAAACUUAAAAACAACUGAGGACUAAAGAAUUUUUAAUUUAUCAAGCAUUUAUUUGU